GGCCGAGCAUGGCGUCUGUGGUUUUAAUGUUAGGCAGUAAGAAUGAACUUCCUCAGCCCAAAAAACCUGGUUUUUUUAUAGAAACAAGUCCACCUUAAACACCAUCACCAGCAAGAAAUCGAGUAUCAUCUUCAACUAAUGAUAUAACCUUAUCAUUGAUUCAGGGCCGAUGAAGGAUAUUAUGAUUGUUUAUCAAUAACUUUCGUAUUUAUCUCUCACUUAAUCUGGCAAGUGAUAUUAUUAUUAGAGGACACUUGAAUAACCAGCUAACAAACAUUGAGAUUAUCAACCUCAACUAAGAUUUGAUUUAACUUUUUGUUCCAAGCUAGAGUGAGAUCAUGAAAAAGGCUCCAAAGCUCUGCCACUAAAACGGUACAGUGACCAAUAUUAGCUGCAUCUGAAAAUGUUAGUUGUGCAUUGAAAUUGCAAAAACUUGUCAGAUUUAGUGUAUUCUGAUAUACAUACAUUAGACCAAAUAGCUACUUUGUACAACAUAUGAAAAAAAAAAAUUAAUAUUUCUAUUUUCUUCAAUUAUAGGUAAUCGUCUAUUUGCUAUCCAAGUACUUGAUACAGAAUUGAUAAGACAGUAUUCGUUAAAUAAAGGCUCCGAGAUAUGGAUUAUUCAAGUUCUUCCAAGCUGAUAAUAGAUUCUGAUUAAGACAGCUCUCUCUGUCCCAUCCAAGCUUCAAUGGAAGUACGUAUCAGAAGGAUAUUCGAAUCUUUGACACAAAAAGAUUUCAGAAUUGGUAUCCUUUUCUUUCCUGAUGAAUCAAGAAGCUCUUCUUUAAAUUUGAUGACCAAAUAACACUGUUGUUCGUACUAACAAAUACUAUCAAAUAUGCCAUGUUAUGUUAGACAAGUCUACAUGUCUAAAACUGAACUCGCGCUUCACAGGCAAAAAAAAAAAAUGUAUGUGAUCAAAUGUAUACUCUGAGUGACGCGAACACGGGCACCAAAUACAACAUGGGACAUGAUGUGCAUACGGAAUAUAAUAAUUUUUAAAAAAAUUGUGACAUGGAAUUAAAAGAUAUAAUUUUUUAUUUACAUUUACAUAAUACAUAUUAGCUGCACUUGUUUUUUCUUUUUUGUAAUCGGGAGAGAGAAUUCGAAUCUGAAUGUUUUUUCAGGUCCUACGUGCACUUGUUACUCGCCUAUAUUCUGGUGUGCUGCUAGCUUUCCCUGCACUAGUGUUGUUUGUCAAUAGUAUUUGUAUGUGUAUCAGUUCAUUUGAAUAGGUGACAAUGCAAAAUUAUGAGAACUGGUUACAGAGCUUUAACGGAUGGUUUUGGACGCACCCGUAGUGAUGAAAGUCCCAUGGCCCCUUUACGCCCAAGCCCCCAUAGAAGGCGCAAGUGAAUUUUUAUUUUUCCUUAAGAAUUUUAAUUUUAAAGUGCCAAAUGAAUUUUUAUUUUUGGAAAAAAGUUUACCCAAUUGGAAACUUUCAAAAUUCUUAUUCAUCUCUUUCUUUUUCAAAUAAAUUGGAUUGGUUUAAGCAAGUCAAUAACCCUAGUGGAGCAUUCUUAUAGUCUUUCUUGUAAUUACUAUUGAUCGUUUUGUCCCUUGUGUUACUUUCUCUUUUGAAAGAUAUUAUUCAUUAAUUAUAAUAUCAAACGUUAUAAAUAAAAAUAUGAUCAGACAUGAAACAUUUUUAUAAGAAGUUAAUAAAAUUUACUUAUUUUUUAACAAAUCAAAAGAAUUGUAUAUAUUCUUUUGAAUAAUAGAACUAAAAAUAAAAGAGAUAAUAUUCUAUUGUUCCGCUUGAAAAUGAUCUUAACAAACUAUGUAAAUAUUCAUAAUAGUAACAAAUUUUUUAAUUGAUUUGGACAGCAAAAUAAUAAUUUCUCUAAACCUUUUAUAUCUGGAUUAUUUUUACAAGAACUUGUAACAUAUGGUGGAUAUAGAUGAGUCUCCUUACUAUAUAUCUUAUGAGGUAUACAGAUAAGUUCCGGCCACUAUAUAUAUCAAUAGCAUCAAUAGAGGAACAACACUACGAGGCUCUAUUGAUUAAAUAUUUACAUCUGCAAAUCAAACUUAUUAUUAUCGUUUAAACUUCCAAAAAUAACUUUAAUUAUUUAACUGAUGAAUAAAUUAGCCAACUAAUAAAAGUGAAAAAACAAAAUUAACUAAUCUUUUUUUGCUCUUCUCUAGUCGUGUAACCCUAAUUUUAUUGUUACAUGCAUUUGGUGCAUAUGAUUCUUCCAUAUUUAUAUCCGUAUAAAAUGGGCAAUUCCUUAUUCAUCAUGAAAUUACCAAUUAUUUUCCUCCGUUAAUUGCGACUUGUUUGGCACGCAGCCAGCAAAGAAGUCCUACGCCUCUAAACCCCACCCCAACCCAAGCUUUUCAACUUGGAAAACUACUACACGAUGACUGACUUCAAGUCUUUCCCAGACUUGAUUAGUACUCUCCUAGCUAUCGACCCUGUAUGUGUGGAAAAGAGUGUUUUUUUGACAUUUUCUAUUUUUUAGGGAGAGGGAAAAUUUGAAAUAAAAUGGAGAUUAUAUUCUUAUAUUGUAAUUUGGAAAAUUAUUUUCUAAAUUUAGAAAAUGAAAAAUCUUUUUAAAUUACUGCUGUUUUCUAAAUUUUAAUUUAUAUUUUCUAUAUCAUUUAUUAGUUAUGUUCUUCAUUUUAUUUUAAAAUUUAAUUAAUUUUUCAUUUUUAUUUUUAUUUUUAUUUUUUUAAAAAAGAAAACACAAUGUUAUUAAGCUAUAAAAUAAUUAAAUAUAUAUACAUAUAAAAAAACAAGUUUCAUAAAUUACAAAUUAAAUCCUACUAUAAAAAUUUUAAUUCAUUGUUCCUCAAACUAAAAUAUAUAAAACUACAUAUAUAUUGAAUUAUUGAUGAACAUCAUAUACAAAAUUAAAAAUUGCCUAAAUGCAAAUGGACAUAAACAGCAUCCUCCACUAGCAAAGGCAAUUGAACAUGAACCCAAUCAAUUUCUUUCCUAGACUUUCCAACAGAGCGAAAUGUCUUGCUCAUGGGAAUUACAUAUAUUUUCGGAGAAUUAUAUGAUUUUUCACUUUCGAAUUUACUGUUCUUUUAUUUUUCAAUCAAAUUUUUAUCUUUCUCUUUUCAAUUAAUGAAAUAAUCGUUUUAAUUCUUGAACUUUCAUACUUGUAUCAUGAAGUCUAACUAGACACAUGAUCAUGGUUCAUUUCAAAUUAGAACCAAAUUGGAAGCAAGCCUAUCAAAAUUGGAAUCAAACUAUAUAUGGUCAUUCAUUUAUAUUUUUUUUUAAAAAAAAUUUCAGUUGUGUUGGACACCUUUGAGCCAUUUUUAAUUAUUGUGCAUCAAAAAGUCUAUCGCUAUGCAUAUCUAAAGCACAUUUAUAUAUAAUUUAGAUAUCGUAUCAAAGAAGUCGUAAGCAGAAAUGUCCUACUGUCCCAAACUAAUUUAUGCUCUUUUUUUUAUUUUGUUGAUAACUAAUUUACUAUUUUUGUUCUGCAAAUUCUCAAAUGCAUCCGAUACUCUUACUUCAUCCCAAUCAAUUGUUGAUGGCCAGACCUUAGUUGCAAAAGAUGGAAAUUAUGAGCUUGGUUUCUUCAGUCCUGGUAGUUCCAGGAAGCGUUCCUUCGGAAUUUGGUACAAAAAGGUCUCAGUUAGAACUGUCGUUUGGGUGGCAAACCAACGCAAUGCAAUUAACGAUUCUUCUAGUUUGCUGACGAUAGACAGAACAUCUAAAAAUCUUGUACUUAUCAGCAAGAACAGCCUUGUUUGGUCAUCAAACUCUACGAAAGAAGCCCAAAAUCCAGUAGCACAGCUCCUGGAUUCCGGGAAUCUUGUUUUAAGAGAUGAAAAGAAUGGAAAUUCUGGAACAUACUUAUGGCAGAGCUUUGAUUAUCCGACUGAUACAUUACUUGCAGGAAUGAAGAUUGGAGUGAAAUUGAAGCCCCAACGUAGUAUGCGUCUUGUAUCAUGGAAAAACUGGGAUGAUCCAUCACCAGGGGACUUUGUUUGGGACUUACGAGUAGUACAUGAUAUUGUUGAAUCAGCUAUCUGGAAAGGCUCGGGUAUCUUGAUGCGAUCAGGCCCAUGGAAUGGCAUUUCAUUCAGCGGUAUACCACAAUUAAGGCCUAACCAAGUUUACGAUUUCAAGUUUGAGCGUAAUGAAGAGGAAGUUUACAUUUUAUACCACCAAAAAGAUGACACUGUAAUAUACAGGCCUAUACUGAACCAAACCAACAAUAGACUUGAGUUGCUAUUAUGGGAUAAAACUUCUCAAUCUUGGCUUCUGCAGUUUUAUUUGCCGUCGGAUCACUGUGAUUCUUAUGGCAUUUGUGGUAGAUUUGGAAUUUGUAAAGCUUCUACAACACCAGAUUGUCAAUGUUUGAAAGGAUUCAGUCCUAAAUCGCCAGAGAAAUGGUACUCAGCAGAUUUUUCUCAAGGGUGUGUCCGUAACAAUUCAUUGAACUGCAGCAGUGACGGUUUUAUCAAAUUCCCAGGGUUAAAAUUACCAGAUAUUACAGAUACUUGGGCAAAUGAAAGCAUGAACCUUAAUGAAUGCAGAUCUAAAUGCUUCAAGAACUGUUCUUGCACUGCAUACACAAGCUAUGAUAUUAGAAAUGGAGGCAGCGGUUGUAUCAUUUGGUUUAGUGAUUUGAUUGAUAUCAGAGAAAUUGCUUUUGGUGGACAGGAUCUAUACAUUCGGAUGUCGGCUUCUGAACUAGGUACAAAAUCUUGGUUUUUUAUUUUGCUCUUUUGCAUAUUUUCAGGUAUUUUCUCUGAUGUCUUAUAGUUUUAUUUUCCUUGGUUCCUCCUUUGUAUCAAAAGUUGGUUUAGAAGAUGUGGGAGGUAAUCAGAACAAGAAGAUGAUGGUGAUAAUCAUCCCUUCUGUUAUUGCAACUUCUGGAAUUCUAGCAGUCAGCUAUUACUACUUCAAAAGCCGGAAGAAACUAAAAGGUAAAAGUAAUGCAUUUAGCUACUGUGGACUUUUUUUUGGAAAGGUUUAAUUUUUAGAAGAUGCAAAUGACAUGUCUUUGCUUUAGAAAAAAAUAAAAUGCAAGACAAAAAUCAAGAAUCAGACGAGGAACUGGAGCUGCCAUUAUUUGACUUUGCCACAAUAUCACAUGCAACCAACAAAUUUUCGUUCGGCAAUAAGCUGGGACAAGGUGGUUUUGGACCUGUAUACAAGGUAGUUAAGCCUAUAAUCUGUUAGCAAAAUGAACGAACAUAAAAAACUUCUGUCCCUGAACUUUUAACGGAUAAUUUUCCUAGGGAAUACUAUCAGAUGGAAAAGAGAUUGCUGUUAAGAGGUUAUCAAGCAAUUCUGGACAAGGAUUAAUCGAGUUCAAAAAUGAAGUUAAAUUGAUUGCCAAACUUCAGCAUCGAAAUCUUGUAAAGCUUCAUGGUUGUUGCAUUAAGGGAGACGAGAGACUUCUGAUCUAUGACUAUAUGCCAAACAAAAGUCUAGACUACUUCAUUUUUGGUAUAAAUGCCUCAAAUACUAAUUAAAUUCUUUUUUUUUUUUUGUUGUAAAUUUUUCUUGCUUGUUUAAAUAUUUCCCUGAAAAUUGAAAUCAAAUUGAAUUGUCAGAUCAAAGUAGAGCAAAACUAUUAGAUUGGUCCAAGCGUUUCAAGAUUGUGUGUGGAAUUGCUAGGGGGCUUCUCUAUCUUCAUCAAGAUUCAAGAUUAAGAAUUAUACAUAGAGAUCUUAAACCCAGUAACGUAUUACUUGAUAAUGAGAUGAACCCAAAAAUUUCAGAUUUUGGCAUGGCCAGAACUUUUGGAGGAGACCAGACUGAAGGAAAUACCAGAAGGGUGGUUGGCACAUAGUAAGUGUUGUAUUCAUUUCCAAGUUUAUAUGAUUAAUUACUUCCUUGUGUGAACGUGUUUCACUGAUAAUUGUUUUGCAGCGGUUAUAUGGCGCCAGAGUAUGCCAGUGAUGGGCUAUUUUCAGUCAAAUCUGAUGUUUUUAGCUUCGGUAUCCUAAUGUUAGAGACAACUACUGGAAAGAGAAGUCGUGGAUUUUAUCACCCAGACCACAGCGUUAACCUUAUUGGAUAUGUAAGUGUUGUUCAAUCCAAAAUUUAGAAUGAACUUGGAAUCAAAAAUUUAGAAUGAACUUGGAAUAGGAUUUUAUAUCUUCUGUUUGGUUCUCGUGAAAUCUAAUUUUUUUAGAUAUUGUUAUUAUUUGAAUAACUUUAUGUUGGAUGGAACUAAAGAGAAGGAUAAAAGCCUGAGAAUAAAACUUAUUUGAUUCUAAAAUUUGUGUAUUAAUUUGUCUAUCAAUAAAAGCUUUUGGUAUGUUUCAGGCAUGGAGAUUGUGGAAUGAAGGGAAUGUCUUGGAAUUGGUGGAAUCAUUUUUAAUGGAGUCUUGCAGUUUAUUAGAAGUUAAACGAUGCAUCCAUAUCAGCCUCUUAUGCGUUCAACAACAUGCAGAGGACAGGCCAAGCAUGGCAUCUGUGGUUUUAAUGUUAGGCAGCAAGAAUGAACUGCCACAGCCCAAAAAACCUGGUUUUUUGAUAGAAUCACGUCCGCUAGAAACACAAUCUCCAUCGAGCAAUCCAGGAUCAUCUUCAAAAAAUGAAAUUAGCUUAUCAGAGUUGCAGGGUCGAUAAUGGAUCAUGAAACUGCUAUCACUGGUGUUGUUUAUCCUUGUCCAAAUUUCUUCAGUGUGUUAAACGGCUACUAUCUUAGAUGCAAAUUUGUCUAUCAUAUUACAUGCCUUAAGUACACGCCUGUAUUGGACUGUGUUCUGCGGGUUAGAAGUUAGUUGAUUUUCCUGAUUUAAAAAAAAAAAUUUUGAUUCUAGAUCUGAUUAUUAGUGUAUACGAGGUAUAAAAUGCUUCAAGACGCCAAGAAAAUAUGAUCAAGAGGAGAAUUGUAAAAUUCCCAUGUUUCAUUUUCAAAAUUUUUGAAUUGUGUUUAAGUUAAAAUGUCAAAUAAAAUGUUAGAUACUGAGUUGUUUAAAAGAUAGUUAUUAAACCUUAAUCAUCCUGACAAGGUAACUCAAAAAACUGAACUCAAAAAUUAGGUUAAUUUGCUUUUAAACCAUUUAAGAAAGAUAAUUAGAUCUAAUGCAACUGAGGUUCAAUUGGCCGAUCUGAAUCAAUUCAAUUGUCUCAUCAAGUCAUUCAUAAUUAUAAUUAUUUAAUUAAUAUAUACUAUAAUUAAUGCUUUUAUGACCUAUUAAUUAAAUUAAUGACCCACUCACCCGAUUCCUUAGCCGGAUUGCUAGUGUGGGAAUCGGGUUUAGUAACUAUGGUGCAAAUACAAAUGACCUAGGGCUAACAAUUUUGGGCUAAGGCCCCACAAAGAUAUAAAACGGCUAUGUGUUAUUAUAAUUUAUUUUAAUUUAUUUAUAUUCUAGAGUUACUACUGUUAUUAUAUUAUUUUAUUUUGUUUCAUAUCCUUACUAGGCUUUCAUAUCCUUAUUAUUUUAUUUUAAGAAAUGCAAGGUGCAGUUCUUACAAAAUAAUUGUGUACGUAGAAAAUGGGCAACCUUUCUCGAUCAUGCAAUUAAUUACUAAUUAGUCUCCUGAUGAACCUACAUUUUAUACAGUGACUUGUUUGCAACGUAGCAACAAAGUCCUAAUGCCUAUCUAGUUCCACACAUAAACCACAACUUGCAAUAAUGUCAGUUUCACGUAUUAAGAGUGACCAUUAUCUCAACAUUUAUUGGUUAUUUUUUAUUUCAUUUCAUUUUAUUCUAUGUAUUAAGUUUCCUUCAUGACCAAAAAUAAAUCUCUUGAUUGGCGGCUAGAACCCUUUUGAAUUUUCGAUUGAUUAUUUGUAUUUAUAAUAAAAAUUCUUUUCAUUACAUAAAAUUAUUAUUUAAUAUUUAUUAAUAUAUUUGUUUGGAUCGAACGAGUGAGAAAUUCAUAUCAUUUAUAAAUUAGUUUCACUAAUAAAAUUCAUUUGUACGUAUUAUCACUUCGAUGAAAAUGUCAAAAACAAAACAAUAAAGCUUCAUAAUAUUUUGUAUAAUUUAUUUAUACCAAAUAAGGGGUUAGUGAUCAGUAAGAUUUUCAAUCCUAACAUUUUUCCUGAAUUCAAACGACAAGUAAUUAAUUUUGAUUACAAAUAUCUAAUCUAGACUUUUCCAAAAAGCGAAAUCUCAACUAACUGGCUCAUGGGGCAUUAAAAUUUUUAGACGCAAGAAAAGUCUAUAUCCUGAAAUUCCAAGGACAUUGACAAAAAAAAAAAUUACAUUACAUUUUGAUAUUUCUUUAGGAGAAUCAUCUGAUUUUUAUUUUUGUAUUCACUGGGAAGCUUAUAAUAGAUCAGAAUAACAUACUAUGGACUAUAUAAUAGAAGUAUUUAUUUUCUUAAUUCACUAAAUUGGUGAAAAUUAUUGUGAUCCAAAGUAUUCACGUAUGAUUUUAAACUUCUAAAUUUUCUAUCCUUUUCUUUUUUAAUUAAAUUUUAAUCUUUCUCGCUUUAAUUAAUGGAACAAUCUUUUUGAUCCCUGAAUUUUCAUAUUUUUACCAUGCAGACCAAGUGAAAAAACAAAUGUAAUAAUAAAAAAUUUGAUUGAAUUGAUAUAUGAAUUGCUUCUUAAUUGACAUAAUAAGAGAAUAAGAAAAGAAAACACAUUAAAACAGCAAAUGGUAACUAGCAAAACAGCCAAUGGUAUUUUUUUUUCUUUGCUUUCAUAAAAGCAGCAAAAUAUGUUAAUUAGCUUUGACCGAGCCUCUGUGUAUUUUUCUCCUUGUAAGGAAGUUAUUAUUUUCCUUUAAGAGUUCUUUUUUUUCCCCUUAUUAGUAAUUUAUUUCGAAUGCGUCUACAUCCAAAUAUCGUUAUCAGAUAGCAUUCGUAGCAACUUCUAAGUUAUAAAAUGCAUGAAAAUUUAGAGUUUUCACUUGAUCAAUUAAUUCCCGGCGGCUAAAUGUAUAAGUUUGAUACCUAAAUUUUGCAAGAAAAACUUAGUAGUGAUAUGCUCAAUUUUUUUAUUCAUUCAUCGAUCAAAUCCUUAAAUUUGCAUAAUUAUAUUUAUUGAACAGUUUAAUUUAUAAAAUUACAUGUAUUUAAUAUUUCAAUUUAUAAAAUUAUACUAAUUGAAUAUUUAUAAGAUACUAAGAAAAAUUAUGAAAAUCAUUAUUUACUAAUUUGUGAUUAAAAGAUGUAUAAAGUGUUCCACUGAUUGAAUAUAAUAUAUUUAUUUUACAAAUUAAAGUAUUCUAUUUAUAAAAUUUGAUAAAUUGAAGGACUAACUGUCAACUUUAAAGUUAGAGUGCCAUUAAAAAAAAAAAAAAAUUAGAUUUCUAUAGCUGAGCCAUUCCAAUAAUGUUACAUUAUCAUAUGACAUUUGCAUGAACCAUAUUUGGAACAUGUCUGAACCAUAGCUGAGCCAUCUUUUAUUACUUUGCUCAAAAAGUCAAUCGCUAUGCAUAUCUAAAGCGCAUUUAUACGUGUGUGUGUAUAUAUAUAUAUAUAUAAUUAGAUAUCGCAUCAAAGAAGCAGUAAGCAGAAAUGUCUCACCGUUCCAAGCUAAUUUGCGCCCUUUCUUUUAUUUUGGUCAUAACUAAUUUACUAUUUUUGUUCUGCAAAUUCUCAAAUGCAACUGAUACUCUUACUUCAUCGCAAUCAAUUGUUGAUGGCCAGACCUUAGUUUCAAAAGAUGGAAUUUUUGAGCUUGGUUUCUUUAGUCCUGGUAGUUCCGGGAAGCGUUACUUGGGAAUUUGGUACAAAAAAAUUCCAGUUAGAACUGUCGUUUGGGUGGCAAAUCGGAGCAAUCCAAUCAAUGAUUCUACUUGUUUGCUGAUGAUAGACAGUACAAGUAAAAAUCUUGUGCUUAUUAAUAGCAACAACGGCGUUGUUUGGUCAUCGUCAAACUCAACGAAGGAAGCCCAAAAUCCAGUAGUACAGCUCCUGGAUUCCGGGAAUCUUGUCUUAAGAGAUGGAAAUAAUGGAAAUUCUGGAAUAUACUUGUGGCAGAGCUUUGAUUAUCCAACUGAUACAUUACUAGCAGGAAUGAAGAUUGGAGAGAAAUUGAAGCCCCAACAUAGUAUGCGUCUUGUAUCAUGGAAAAACUGGGAUGAUCCGUCGCCUGGGGACUUUUUUUGGGACUUAGGAGUAGUACAUGAUAUUGUUGAAUCAGCUAUCAGGAAAGGCUCCAGUAUCUUGUUUCGAUCAGGGCCAUGGAAUGGCGUUACAUUUAGUGGUCUACCACAAUUUACGCCUAGCCAGGUUGAUGAUACAAAGUUUGUGCGUAAUGAAGAGGAAGUUUACUAUUUAUUCAACCAAAUGAAUACCAGUCUAACAUACAGGCCUGUACUGAACCAAACCAACAAUAGACUUGAGUUCAUAUUAUGGGAUCAAACUUCUCAAUCUUGGCAUCGGCAGUUUUAUUUUCCAUCCGAUCACUGUGAUUCUUAUGACAUUUGUGGUAGCUUUGGAAUUUGUAAAACUUCUACAGCACCAGAUUGUCACUGUUUGAAAGGAUUCAGUCCUAAAUCGCCGGAGAACUGGUACUCAAAGGAUUUUUCUCAAGGGUGUGUCCGUAACAAUUCAUUGAACUGCAGCAGUGACGGUUUUAUCAAAUUCACAGGGUUAAAAUUACCAGAUAUUAGAGAUACUUGGGCAAAUGAAAGUAUGAACCUCAAUGAAUGCAGAGCUAAAUGCUUACAGAACUGUUCAUGCACUGCAUAUUCAAGCUAUGAUAUUAGAAAUGGAGGCAACGGUUGUAUCAUUUGGUUAAAUGAUUUGAUUGAUAUCAGAGAAAUUCCUGUUAAUGGACAGGAUCUAUACAUUCGAAUGUCUGCUUCUGAAUUGGGUAAAAUCUUAGUUUUUUAUUUUACUUUCAACUCUUUUGCACGUUUUCAGGUAUAUUCUGCUAUGUAUAUUUAUUUUGAUUAUCAAAGCCUGUCUUAUAGUUUUAUUUGACUUGGUUUUUUGUCCCAUGAAUCAAAAGUUGGUUUAGAAGAUGUGGGAGGUAAUCAGAACAAGAAGAUGUUGGUGAUGAUAAUCAUCCCUUCUGUUAUUGCAACUUCUGGAAUCCUAGCAGUCAGCUAUUACUACUUCAAAAGCCGGAAAAAACUAAAAGGUAAAAGUAAUGCAUUUAGCUACUGUGGACUUUUUUUUGGAAAGGUUUAAUUUUUAGAAGAUGCAAAUGACAUCUCUUUGCUUUAGAAAAUAAUAAAAUACAAGACAAAAAUCAAGAAUCAGACGAGGAACUGGAGCUGCCAUUAUUUGACUUUGCCACAAUAUCACAUGCAACCAACAAAUUUUCGUUCGGCAAUAAGCUGGGACAAGGUGGUUUUGGACCUGUAUACAAGGUAGUUAAGCCUAUAAUCUGUUAGCAAAAUGAAUGUACGAACAUAAAAAACUUCUGUCCCUGAACUUUCAACGGAUGAUUUUCCUAGGGAAUACUAUCAGAUGGAAAAGAGAUUGCUGUUAAGAGGUUAUCAAGCAAUUCUGGACAAGGAUUAAUCGAGUUCAAAAAUGAAGUUAAAUUGAUUGCGAAGCUUCAGCAUCGAAAUCUUGUAAAGCUUCAUGGUUGUUGCGUUAAGGGAGAUGAGAGACUUCUGAUCUAUGACUACAUGCCAAACAAAAGUCUAGACUACUUCAUUUUUGGUAUGGAUGCCUCAAAUACCGAUAAUUCUUUAUUUGUUAUGAAAUUUUAUAAUCUGUUUUCCCUGUCUCUAAAAUGGAACUGAAACUGAAUUGCCAGAUCAAACUAGAGGAAAACUAUUAGAUUGGUCCAAGCGUUUCAAGAUUGUGUGUGGAAUUGCUAGGGGGCUUCUCUAUCUUCAUCAAGAUUCAAGAUUAAGAAUUAUACACAGAGAUCUUAAACCAAGUAACGUAUUACUUGACAAUGAGAUGAACCCAAAAAUUUCAGAUUUUGGCAUGGCCAGAACUUUUGGAGGAGACCAGACUGAAGGAAAUACCAGAAGGGUGGUAAUCAAUUGUUGAUGGCCAGACUGAAGGAAAUACCAGAAGGGUGGUUGGCACAUAGUAAGUGUUGUAUUCAUUUCCAAGUUUAUAUGAUUAAUUACUUCCUUGUGUGAACGUGUUUCACUGAUAAUUGUUUUGCAGCGGUUAUAUGGCGCCAGAGUAUGCCAGCGAUGGGCUAUUUUCAGUUAAAUCUGAUGUUUUUAGCUUUGGUAUCCUGAUGCUAGAGAUAACAACUGGGAAGAAAAGUCGUGGAUUUCAUCACCCAGACCAUAGUCUUAACCUUAUUGGAUAUGUAAGUUUCGAGGCCAUAUUUGGUGCACUCCAAAAUUUAAAAGUAAACUUAAAAUAGGAUUGAAUGAACUUAAUAUUCAUUUUCAUUUUCAAUUUUGAAACCUGAGAACUGAACUUAUUUGGUCUUAAAUUUCUUUUUUCAUUUUUUUUUUAUUUUAUUUUUUUGGGUUAAAUGGUCUUAAAUUUCUUGUAUUUGUCAAAAACAUAAGUAUGUGGUGCAUUUCAGACAUGGAGAUUGUGGAAUGAAGGAAAUGUAUUGGAAUUGGUUGAACCAUUUUUAAUGGAGCCAUGCAAUUUAUCAGAAGUGAAGCGAUGCAUCCAUAUCAGCCUCUUAUGCGUUCAACAACAGGCAGUGGACAGGCCGAGCAUGGCGUCUGUGGUUUUAAUGUUAGGCAGUAAGAAUGAACUUCCUCAGCCCAAAAAACCUGGUUUUUUUAUAGAAACAAGUCCACCUGAAACACCAUCACCAGCAAGAAAUCGAGUAUCAUCUUCAACUAAUGAUAUAACCUUAUCAUUGAUUCAGGGCCGAUGAAGAAUAUUAUGAUUGUUUAUCAAUAACUUUUGUAUUUAUCUCUCACUUAAUCUGGCAAGUGAUAUUAUUAUUAGAUGACACUUGAAUAACCAGCUAACAAACUUUGAGAUUGUCAUCCU
rnacentral:lncRNA from 1 species